CACUUUGCUUCAUUUUCUGGUCACGAACUUUUUCAGUACAGACAUCCCACGCUUAAUUGAGACUUGCCUGGAGCCCAGAACCUCUUUCCCUGAACAGUGUAGAGAAGAAACGGAGAGAAGAGGCCCAGGAAGGGGCGUCAGGAAAAAGAAAAGAACACCCGUGCCAAGAACUUCCUGGAAACUGCUGCACAGUGGGAUUGAAACCACAUGCAAACUCACGCUGCUGGCCCCGAGUGGAGCUUCCUCCCAGAUGUGACCAUCUCUUGUCCCCAUGCUCAGUCCACCCUCUCUUGGGCUUGGAAUGAGAACUGAAGAAUUCUUAUGAGUUGGGUGCACGGCCGUAAUAAAGUUGAGGUAUCCCAGACUGCAGCUGGAGAAGAGAAGGUAUCGUUUGACUAUUGGCUUAACAGGGAUUUGGUAAACUGUGCUGAUUUUCACAAAGUUGACACAAUCUUGUGUCAUGUGAGAGGAAGAGAUCUUGGUGGAGAGAAACACCAACAGAUUGGCCUGUGGGCGUGUCUGUGUGGCGUUUUUUUUCAAUUGUUGAUUGACGCAAGAGGACCCAGGCCUCUGAAGGCAGUGCUACCCUGUGGUCCUGGGAGGUAUAAGGAAGGUAGCUGAAUGUGAGCCUGGGAGCAAGCCCGUAAGCAGCAUUCCUCCAUGGUCUUUGCUUCAGUUCUGACCUCCAGGCGCCUGCCCUGACUUCCCUCAGUGAUGGAGUGUGACCUGCAACCCUUUCAUCCCCAGAUUUGAAGGCACCAGCAUGAUGUCUGUUCUUCAAUGAGGAAGGGACCCACCCAGCUGAGUGCAGCUCUGGCAUGAGCCGGCUCCAGCACAUGACUGGACGUCAGAAGAUGUGCCAGAACAGACGGUAUUUGAUCGGUAGUCUAGGUUCCUACACCUCCACUUCCUGCUCCUGAGAGCUGUGUGCAUUCUUCUGACUUCAGAGACCAGAAGCCUGCUGGGUAGUGGGAUGAGAAACUAUCCAUGGGACUUCAAGUGUUUGCACGGUUGCUGUGUUUCUGAGGCAUUCCUCUGCUGCUGACUGGGCUCAUGGUGCAUGAGAUUGGUGUCUGCUGGAGCGAGGGCAAGUCCAUCCGGAGGAUGCUUCCGGAGAAAAGGAAAUAAAGCAACAUCAGUGUGGAAUAUAUGAGGCUGGAGAGACGGCUCAGAUGUUAAGAG